UGCCUCUGCCCUUUCCUGGGCGUUUCCUCCCUGACUUUCCAAGCCCGGCCUUGUCGCCGGGCUUUUCUUUUGCGUCC
rnacentral:sRNA from 1 species